UGUCAAGGAGCUCCUGAUAUUCCAGAAAAGAAAAGAUCUGGGUGGAGACAAGAGCAGAUUUCCAGGAUCUAAGAUCUCUUACCAACCCAAGGACCAGUCUCAUGGGGCAAUGAGCUCGCUUUGUGUCUCCCAAACUCCAGGCAAGAAUACAUCAAGCGGUGCUAAAGGAAGGGAUCUGUACAACUCCUCCCACCACGGGAACAACCCAGUCUUCCAGGGCUUCAUGAUACCUCCUCCAGAGGAAUACACAAGUCAACAUCUCAAAAGAAGCUCAUGCGAAAUGCACAUGAUCAGCUUGUAAGAGGAGAAAUACAGACGAUAA